rnacentral:rRNA from 1 species
AGGACGAACGCUGGCGGCGUGCUUAACACAUGCAAGUCGAACGGGAUCCAUGGAGUAGCAAUACUCCGGAAGAUCUAGUGGCGAACGGGUGAGUAACACGUGAGCAACCUGCCCUAAAGACUGGGAUAACCCCGGGAAACCGGAGCUAAUACCGGAUGUCCUCUUCGGAUCGCAUGGUCUGAUGAGGAAAUGAAUUUCGCUUUAGGAGGGGCUCGCGGGAUAUCAGCUUGUUGGUGGGGUAACGGCCUACCAAGGCGACGACGGGUA